rnacentral:rRNA from 1 species
AGCAGCCGCGGUAAUUCCAGCUCCAAUAGCGUAUAUUAAAGUUGUUGCAGUUAAAAAGCUCGUAGUUGAAUUUCGGGAUCAAUGUUUCGGUCAUGCCGUUGGUAUGUACUGAUAUUAUUGAUUUCUCACCUUCUAAAGAACCGUAAUGCCAUUAAUUUGGUGUCACGGGGAAUUAGGACUGUUACCUUGAAAAAUUAGAGUGUUUAAAGCAGGCUCACGCUUGAAUACAUUAGCAUGGAAUAAUGAAAUAGGACAUCCGAUUCUAUUUUGUUGGUUUCUAGGAUCGAUGUAAUGAUUAAUAGGGAUAGUUGGGGGCAUUAGUAUUCAAUUGUCAGAGGUGAAAUUCUUGGAUUUAUUGAAGACUAACUACUGCGAAAGCAUUUGCCAAGGAUGUUUUCAUUAAUCAAGAACGAAAGUUAGGGGAUCGAAGACGAUCAGAUACCGUCGUAGUCUUAACCAUAAACUAUGCCGACUAGGGAUCGGAUGAUGUAAUUUUUAAUGUA